CCUCGCCAUUCUUAUCAACAAAACGACAAUACGUCUGUUAAAAUGAAGCUUCUAGUUUUAAUUGGAAUCUUGUCAAUCUAUUUCCUGUAUAACGUCAACGGGAAUGACACUAGAUUGUGGUAAGAAUAAGACUACAAUAUCACACGUAGUCAACUGUUUUACAACACCGUGUUAUCCUAUACUCAAAUGUGUCGAAAAAUCUGAAAAUUUGUGUUCUCAAUACAAACCAUGUAUGCACAAUGGUGUAUGUCAACCACAAGAUAAUGGAGAUUUCAAAUGUACUUGUCAAAUCUGGAACAUCGGUCGCUACUGCGAACAUUUUAUCAUACUGCCUUAAAUCCUUUACUAACUACUCCUUUCCGCGUCAACUAUCCGUUGGUGAAUAAAAUAAAGUAAUCAAAUUGACUACCUUCUUAUUCUAUAACUAAAAUAAACGUUACAUUCCUCGAAUUACACCCCGUCUUAUCUGUAGAUGGGAUUGCUGAGGGCAUAGUUGCUCAUGCCGGAUCAACUAUCAACAAUAGACUAAAUAGAA